CCUACGGGGGGCAGCAGUGGGGAAUAUUGGACAAUGGGGGCAACCCUGAUCCAGCCAUGCCGCGUGUGUGAAGAAGGCCCUCGGGUUGUAAAGCACUUUCAGUGAGGAAGAACGCCUGGUGGUUAAUACCCAUCAGGAAGGACAUCACUCACAGAAGAAGCACCGGCUAACUCCGUGCCAGCAGCCGCGGUAAUACGGAGGGUGCGAGCGUUAAUCGGAAUUACUGGGCGUAAAGCGCGCGUAGGUGGCUUGAUAAGCCGGUUGUGAAAGCCCCGGGCUCAACCUGGGAACGGCAUCCGGAACUGUCAAGCUAGAGUGCAGGAGAGGAAGGUAGAAUUCCCGGUGUAGCGAUGAAAUGCGUAGAGAUCGGGAGGAAUACCAGUGGCGAAGGCGGCCUUCUGGACUGACACUGACACUGAGGUGCGAAAGCGUGGGUAGCAAACAGGAUUAGAUACCCGGGUAGUC
rnacentral:rRNA from 1 species